GUUCAUAAUAGCUCAGUUGAUAAAGCAUGAUAUUCUUCCUUUCAGGGUCAUGGGUUCGAGCCCCAUGUUGGCCU